ACGAGUAAAUUGAACAGGUUGUAGCUGGCCUUUAGGGGCAUGUGCACGCCUGGCUCAUCCACUCUUCAACCUCUGUGCACUUGUUGUAGGUCGGUGGAAAGGCUUUUGACAGGGGGCUUCUGACUUCGGUUAGGACUCUUUGUUUGAAGGCUUGGAAGCCUUCCUAUGUAUUUUACAAACGCUUCAGUUUAAGAAUGUAAUCUCUGCGUAUAACGCAUUUAUAUA
rnacentral:misc_RNA from 1 species